rnacentral:snoRNA from 1 species
CAUCAGUGCAUAAAGAAAAAGCUUUAUUUUUCUUGGAUUUUCACUGUAAUCAGAGAAACUCCAGGGAAAAUUAAGCAGCGGCCAGACAACCGUAGAGAUGGGUUUUCCACAGAUGAAAUGAAAUGUUCAUUCAAUUUGUCUACUUAUUCCAUCUCAUAUUU